AUUGAACGCUGGCGGAAUGCUUUACACAUGCAAGUCGAACGGCAGCACGGACUUCGGUCUGGUGGCGAGUGGCGAACGGGUGAGUAAUGUAUCGGAACGUGCCCAGUCGUGGGGGAUAACGUAGUGAAAAUUACGCUAAUACCGCAUACGAUCUAUGAAUGAAAGCGGGGGAUCGCAAGACCUCGUGCGAUUGGAGCGGCCGAUAUCAGAUUAGGUAGUUGGUGGGGUAAAGGCCCACCAAGCCAACGAUCUGUAGCUGGUCUGAGAGGACGACCAGCCACACUGGAACUGAGACACGGUCCAGACUCCUACGGGAGGCAGCAGUGGGGAAUUUUGGACAAUGGGCGAAAGCCUGAUCCAGCCAUUCCGCGUGCAGGAUGAAGGCCCUCGGGUUGUAAACUGCUUUUGUACAGAACGAAAAGGUUUCUACUAAUACUAGGAGCUCAUGACGGUACUGUAAGAAUAAGCACCGGCUAACUACGUGCCAGCAGCCGCCGAA
rnacentral:rRNA from 1 species